rnacentral:RNase_P_RNA from 1 species
GGAGUGGGCCGGAUGGUCGCGGAUUCUGAGGAACGGAAUCCGAGGAAAGUCCGAGCUCCACCGGGCGGGAUGCUCGCUAACGGCGAGUGGGGGCGACCCCAAGGAAAGUGCAACAGAAAAGAUACCGCCACGCCUUGGCGUGGUAAGGGUGAAAAGGUGCGGUAAGAGCGCACCGGCGGCGGGGCGACUCGCCGGCCUGGCAAACCCCAUCCGGAGCAAGACCAAAUAGGGGGGCGAUGGAGCGGCCCGUUCCGUGUGCCUCCGGGUUAGGUCGCUUGAGGCGCCUGGUAACAGGCGUCCCAGAUGAAUGACCAUCACGGCCAAUCGGCCGGACAGAACUCGGCUUACGCGCCCGCUCCAAAA